ACUCCUACGGGAGGCAGCAGUGGGGAAUCUUGCGCAAUGGGCGAAAGCCUGACGCAGCAACGCCGCGUGGGGGAUGAAGGCUCUCGGGUUGUAAACCCCUUUCAGCAGGGACGAAUUUGACGGUACCAGCAGAAGAAGCCCCGGCCAACUACGUGCCAGCAGCCGCGGUAACACGUAGGGGGCAAGCGUUGUCCGGAUUUAUUGGGCGUAAAG
rnacentral:rRNA from 1 species